UAACCCGCACCACUUAUCGUGGUGGGAGACAGUGUCAGGCGGGCAGUUUGACUGGGGCGGUCGCCUCCUAAAAGGGAACGGAGGCGCUCAAAGGGUCCCUCAGAAUGGUUGGAAAUCAUUCAUAGAGUGUAAAGGCAUAAGGGAGCUUGACUGCGAGACCUACAAGUCGAGCAGGGUCGAAAGACGGACUUAGUGAUCCGGUG
rnacentral:rRNA from 1 species